rnacentral:rRNA from 1 species
ACUCCUACGGGAGGCAGCAGUGGGGAAUCUUGGACAAUGGGGGCAACCCUGAUCCAGCCAUGCCGCGUGAGUGAAGAAGGCCUUAGGGUCGUAAAGCUCUUUCGCCUGUGAAGAUAAUGACGGUAGCAGGUAAAGAAACCCCGGCUAACUCCGUGCCAGCAGCCGCGGUAAUACGGAGGGGGUUAGCGUUGUUCGGAAUUACUGGGCGUAAAGCGCGCGUAGGCGGACCAGAAAGUUGGGGGUGAAAUCCCGGGGCUCAACCCCGGAACUGCCUCCAAAACUCCUGGUCUUGAGUUCGAGAGAGGUGAGUGGAAUUCCGAGUGUAGAGGUGAAAUUCGUAGAUAUUCGGAGGAACACCAGUGGCGAAGGCGGCUCACUGGCUCGAUACUGACGCUGAGGUGCGAAAGUGUGGGAGCAAACAGGAUUAGAUACCCUGGUAGGUGACAA